rnacentral:tRNA from 1 species
UCUAAAAUGGCAGAUAAAUGUAGUAGGUUUAGGACCUACCUAUGGGAAUAAAAUUCUCUUUUAGA